rnacentral:rRNA from 1 species
UUGCCUCAGUAACGGCGAGUGAAGCGGCAACAGCUCAGAUUUGUAAUCUGGCCCCUUGGGGGUCCGAGUUGUAGUCUGGAGAGGAUGCUUCGGGGGUGCGACCGGGUCUAAGUUCCUUGGAACAGGACGUCAGAGAGGGUGAGAAUCCCGUCUGUGGUCCGGUCUGGCCCCUUGGUGAAGCUCCCUCGACGAGUCGAGUUGUUUGGGAAUGCAGCUCAAAUUGGGUGGUAAAUCUCAUCUAAAGCUAAAUACUGGCCAGAGACCGAUAGCGCACAAGUAGAGUGAUCGAAAGAUGAAAAGCACUUUGGAAAGAGAGUUAAACAGCACGUGAAAUUGUUGAAAGGGAAGCGCUUGCGACCAGACUUGUCCGUGGCUCUUCAGCCGAGGAUCACCCCUCGGUGCACUGGGUCAUGGACAGGCCAGCAUCGGUGUGGGCGGCGGGACGAAGGCUCCGGGAAUGUGGCCUCCCUUCGGGGAGGUGUUAUAGCCCGGGGUGUCACGCCGGCGCCCAGACCGAGGCCCGCGCUCCGGCAAGGAUGCUGGCGUAAUGGUCGCCAGCGACCCGUCUUGAAACACGGACCAAGGAGUCUAACAUCCACGCGAGUGUUUGGGCGUCAGACCCGGACGCGCAAUGAAAGUGAAUGGAGGUGGGAACCCGCAAGGGUGCACCAUCGACCGAUCCUGAAGUUUACGGAUGGAUUUGAGUAAGAGCGUGGCUGUUGGGACCCGAAAGAUGGUGAACUAUGCCUGAAUAGGGUGAAGCCAGAGGAAACUCUGGUGGAGGCUCGCAGCGGUUCUGACGUGCAAAUCGAUCGUCAAAUUUGGGUAUAGGGGCGAAAGACUAAUCGAACCAUCUAGUAGCUGGUUCCUGCCGAAGUUUCCCUCAGGAUAGCAGUAACGCGUUUCAGUUUUAUGAGGUAGAGCGAAUGAUUAGAGGCCUUGGGGUUGAAACAACCUUAACCUAUUCUCAAACUUCGAAUAUGUAAGAAGUCCUUGUUGCUUUGUUGAACGUGGACAUUCGAAUGUACCGUUACUAGUGGGCCAUUUUUGGUAAGCAGAACUGGCGAUGCGGGAUGAACCGAACGCGGGGUUAAGGUGCCGGAAUGCACGCUCAUCAGACACCACAAAAGGUGUUGGUUCAUCUAGACAGCAGGACGGUGGCCAUGGAAGUCGGAAUCCGCUAAGGAGUGUGUAACAACCCACCUGCCGAAUGAACUAGCCCUGAAAAUGGAUGGCGCUCAAGCGUGCUACCCAUACCCCGCCGCCAGGGCAGGAACGAUGCCCUGGCGAGUAGGCAGGCGUGGGGGUCCGUGAC